UGGGGAAUAUUGCACAAUGGGGGAAACCCUGAUGCAGCGACGCCGCGUGAGCGAAGAAGGUUUUCGAAUUGUAAAGCUCUGUCCUAUGAGAAGAUAAUGACGGUAUCAUAGGAGGAAGCCCCGGCUACAUACGUGCCAGCAGCCGCGGUAAUACGUAUGGGGCGAGCGUUGUCCGGAAUUAUUGGGCGUAAAGGGUACGUAGGCGGUCUAUUAAGUCAGGUGUGAAAGCGUGAGGCUUAACCUCAUUAAGCACUUGAAACUGAUAGACUUGAGUGAAGGAGAGAAAAGUGGUAUUCCUAGUGUAGCGGUGAAAUGCGUAGAUAAUAGGAGGAAUACCGGUGGCGAAGGCGACUUUCUGGCCUUAUACUGACGAUCAGGUACGAAAGCGUGGGGAGCAAACAGG
rnacentral:rRNA from 1 species